GGGCACUGUGGGCAAGCAGGCCAGGUAUGGAAGGGGGUGGAAGCGUUAAUCGGGAUUACUGGGCGGAAAGCUAGCGUAGGUGGCUUGAUAAGUCAGAUGUGAAAUCCCCUGGCUUAACCUGGGAACUGCGUCGGAGACUGUUAAGCUAUAGUAGGUGAGAGGGAAGUAGAAUUCCAGGUGGAGCGGUGAAGUGCGUAGAGAUCUGGAGGAAUACCGAUGGCGAAGGCAGCUUCCUGGCAUCAUACUGACACUGAGGCUCGAAAGCGUGGGUAGCAAACAGGAUUAGAUACCCCUGUAGUC
rnacentral:rRNA from 1 species